rnacentral:rRNA from 1 species
GGGGGGGUACGAGCGUACGCUGAGCGGCAGGGCUCACACAUGCGAGUCGAGCGGCAGCGGGAAAGUAGCUUGCUACUUUUGCCGGCUAGCGGCGGAGGGUGAGUAAUGCCGGGGAAAUUGCCCAGGCGAGGGGGAUAACAGUUGGAAACGACUGCUAAGACCGCAAACCCCUACAGGGGAAAGCAGGGGACCUUCGGGCCUUGCGCGAUUGGAUAUGCCCAGGUGGGAUUAGCUUGUUGGUGAGGUAAUGGCUCACCAAGGCGACGAUCCCUAGGUAGUCUGAGAGGAUGAUCACCCCCACUGGACCUGAGCCGGGGUCCACACUUCCGGGGGUUGUUUUAGUAAGGAAUAUUGCACAAUGGGGGAAACCCUGAUCCACCCUUGCCGCGUGUGUAAAGAACGCCUUCUGGUUGUAAAGCACUUUCAGCGAGGAGGAAAGGUUGAUAGCUAAUAACUGCCAACUAUGGCGUUACUCUCAAAAAAAGCACCGGCUAACUCCGUGCCAGCAGCCGCGGUAAUACGGAGGGUGCAAGCGUUAAUCGGAAUUACUGGGCGUAAAGCGCACGCAGGCGGUUGGAUAAGUUAGAUGUGAAAGCCCCGGGCUCAACCUGGGAAUUGCAUUUAAACUGUCCAGCGUGAGUCUUGUAGAGGGGGGUAGAAUUCCCGGUGUAGCGGUGAAAUGCGUAGAGAUCUGGAGGAAUACCGGUGGCGAAGGCGCCCCCUGGACAAACACUGACUCUCAGGUGCGAAAGCGUGGGCAGCAAACAGAUUAAUACCCUGGUAUCCACGCCGUAAACAUGUCGAUUUGCAGGCGGGUGUCCUGAACGUGGGUUCCGGGAACUACGCGUUAAAUCGACGGCCGGGGGAGUACAGCACACAAGUUUAAAACUCAAUACGAUUGACGGGGUGGCCCCCACAAUCUGUGUACAAGUUGGUGUAAUUCCGAUGCACGCGGAAGUGCUUUAGCUGGGCCUUGACAGUGGCUUGGAAUCCCUGCGAG